rnacentral:rRNA from 1 species
UACGUAGGGGGCAAGCGUUGUCCGGAAUCAUUGGGCGUAAAGAGCGUGUAGGCGGCUUGGUAAGUCCGCUGUGAAAGUCCAGGGCUCAACCCUGGAAUGCCGGUGGAAACUGUCAAGCUUGAGUCCGGAAGAGGCGAGUGGAAUUCCUGGUGUAGCGGUGAAAUGCGCAGAUAUCAGGAGGAACACCAAUGGCGAAGGCAGCUCGCUGGGACGGUACUGGACGCUGAGACGCGAAAGCGUGGGAGGAACAGGAUGAG